rnacentral:misc_RNA from 1 species
CAACUUCCACCUGGCUUACCUCCNUCAUUUAUGCGUCAUGACUUGUAUUGUCUUGAGCGUAUUGUGGGUUUCCUGUGUUGCAUACCUUUCUAAUGGUAUCGUGUUGAUUGAUCGAAGUCCCUUUUCAUCUUGUGUUGCUUUUUGCGACGCAUGAUGAACCUCGAGGCGGUCUCUAUGUUCCACCAUGUUGAUGCUACUGUUUCGAUGUUGUGGCCCAUUGAGCGUUGCUUGGUUUCGUGGAUACAGAACAUGAUUUGGGCAUAGGGUUACUUGUGACCCUUGUUCUGUCCUUUAUCAGUGUUCUUUAUAACGACGGUUCAUGCGCGCCUAGGCUCGUACCUGCGCGAUGUUCUUUGUCGAAGAGGAAUGCUACCUGGUUGAUCCUGCCAGUAGUCAUAUGCUUGUCUCAAAGAUUAAGCCAUGCAUGUGUAAGU